rnacentral:rRNA from 1 species
ACGCUGGCGGCGUGCCUAAUACAUGCAAGUAGAACGCUGAAAGAGGAGCUUGCUUCUCUGGAUGAGUUGCGAACGGGUGAGUAACGCGUAGGUAACCUGCCUGGUAGCGGGGGAUAACUAUUGGAAACGAUAGCUAAUACCGCAUAAGAGUAGAUGUUGCAUGACAUUUGCUUAAAAGGUGCAAUUGCAUCACUACCAGAUGGACCUGCGUUGUAUUAGCUAGUUGGUGGGGUAACGGCUCACCAAGGCGACGAUACAUAGCCGACCUGAGAGGGUGAUCGGCCACACUGGGACUGAGACACGGCCCAGACUCCUAUGGGAGGCAGCAGUAGGGAAUCUUCGGCAAUGGACGGAAGUCUGACCGAGCAACGCCGCGUGAGUGAAGAAGGUUUUCGGAUCGUAAAGCUCUGUUGUAAGAGAAGAACGAGUGUGAGAGUGGAAAGUUCACACUGUGACGGUAUCUUACCAGAAGGGGACGGCUAACUACGUGCCAGCAGCCGCGGUAAUACGUAGGUCCCGAGCGUUGUCCGGAUUUAUUGGGCGUAAAGCGAGCGCAGGCGGUUAGAUAAGUCUGAAGUUAAAGGCUGUGGCUUAACCAUAGUACGCUUUGGAAACUGUUUAACUUGAGUGCAAGAGGGGAGAGUGGAAUUCCAUGUGUAGCGGUGAAAUGCGUAGAUAUAUGGAGGAACACCGGUGGCGAAAGCGGCUCUCUGGCUUGUAACUGACGCUGAGGCUCGAAAGCGUGGGGAGCAAACAGGAUUAGAUACCCUGAUAGUCCACGCCGUAAACGAUGAGUGCUAGGUGUUAGACCCUUUCCGGGGUUUAGUGCCGCAGCUAACGCAUUAAGCACUCCGCCUGGGGAGUACGACCGCAAGGUUGAAACUCAAAGGAAUUGACGGGGGGCCCGCACAA